UUUAAAGUCUGACCUGCUCAAUGAAUUUAGUUUAAAUAGCCGCAGUAUUUUGACUGUGCAAAGGUAGCAUAAUCAUUAGUUUUUUAAUUAAAAGCUGGAAUGAAGGGUUUGAUAAAAAAAUAACUGUCUCAAUAUUAUUGAAUUAGAAAUUUAUUUUUAAGUAAAAAAGCUUAAAUUUUUUAAAAAGACGAGAAGACCCUAUAGAGUUUAAUAUAAAAUUUAAUUAUGUUUUUUAGAAUUUAAUAAGUUAAUUAAUAAUUUAUAUUUUAUUGGGGUGAUAAAAAAAUUUAAUAAACUUUUAUAAAAAAAAAAUAUUAAUGAAUAAUUAAAUGAUCCUAAAUUUUAGAUUAUAAGAAAUAAUUACCUUAGGGAUAACAGCGUAAUUUUUUUAAAGAGUUCAAAUCGAAAAAAGAGAUUGCGACCUCGAUGUUGGAUUAAAGAAAAUUUUUAAUGUAGAAGUUAAAAUUAUAGGUCUGUUCGACCUUUAAAUCUUUACA
rnacentral:rRNA from 1 species